rfam:Nematostella vectensis strain CH2 x CH6 NEMVEscaffold_39_Cont6469, whole genome shotgun sequence.
GGCUCAGUGUUUUGAUUCUCGCUUUGGGUGCGAGAGGCCACGGGUUCGAUUCCCGUCCGAGCCC